rnacentral:snRNA from 1 species
GUGCUCACUUCAGCAGCACAUACACUAAAAUUGGAAGAUUAGCAUGGCCCCUGUGCAAGGAUGACAUGCAAAUUCAUGAAGUGGUCCACAUUUUU